AACAAAUUAGAGAAGCUUCAACCAUGAGUAGGAGAGUAUUUCACCUCUGCUCUUCCCUAUACCAAGACCAGCUCACAAAGCAGAGGUGACCCCAGAGCAUGAAUGGGACAAAGAGGCUUCCCCCAAAGCAGGUAGGAGAAGAAAAAUGAAUUACUAAGUAGGCUGGAGGUAGCUGACACCAGAAGAGAUUGAUGACACAUCCUUCAGAGCAUUGGGAGUGAAGAAAACAAAUAACCUUCAUGCAAGUGAUGUGAUUCAAUGAAGGAGGGCUCAAGGAUUCAAAAGCAUCUGUAUUUGAGGGAUUGUAUACUUGUCCAGGAGUAGGAAACUCGUCCACAUCAUCAUUUUUCCCUGAACAUCCUCCAUGGUGGACAACAUGGCUGUGCCCCAGCCUGACCAGACAGUGUCAAUGGGAAUGAAGGAACAAAGGGUUUAAAUGUCUCCUCACCAUCUAAUCCCAUCUGAUCUUUGGAGAUGACCACAUGGAAAUACUUGGAGAUUCUAACCCUGCUGAGUUCAAAAGGAAGAGUGAGAGCUCUGGGUUUUCAGGAGCAUACAGGCUGAAUACCUCUCCUCCACAAAGAUUCUGUGUAAAUUAAGAGCUCAAGAGAAGCCAUUCCAAUCAAUUGGAUCAAUGACACGGCGACUAAAACUACAUUAAGUAUGGCCUUGAUACAAUAAACUAUGACAACUAGGAAA
rnacentral:lncRNA from 1 species